UAGGGUAGGGAAAUUUACAGUUCAAAUAUACACAUCAAUUAUGGGAACUUUUUAUAUAUGAAUUUGUCAAAAAAAAAAAAAACCUAGUUUAUGAGUUUAUUGCAGCGGAACCAGUGUUGAGCAUCCUGGCUUCUCCUCUCACCUUCCUCUUCCUACUUCUCAAAAUUAGGACUCCUCGCAGUUGGUGUUCUAUGCCUACCGCGCUUAUUUUAUUUUCUGGGGGUUGGAUUGCUGGAUUCGCUUGAGCAUCUUUCAUUUGCGUCUGCAGAAGACAAAGGAUUUAAAGGAACAUAAUGUCUGAGAUGUUGGACACAGAUUCUUAGUUAUGAAGAUUUUAGGGUGAAAAAAUUCCAAUUGGUCACAAAUUAU